UAAACGACUCUCGGCAACGGAUAUCUCGGCUCACGCAUCGAUGAAGAACGUAGCAAAAUGCGAUACUUGGUGUGAAUUGCGGAAUCCCGUGAACCAUCGAGUUUUUGAACGCAAGUUGCGCCCGAAGCCUUUUGGCCGAGGGCACGUCUGCCUGGGCGUCACAC
rnacentral:rRNA from 2 species